GGGCUCCUGCUGGUACUGUGUUCUUCGCUGCUGCACAGCAAGGCCCUGCCACCCACCUUCAGGCCAUGCAGCCAUGUUCCGGGAGCCCUAAUUGCACAGAAGCCCAUGGGGAGCUCCAGACCGGCAGCCCUGCUCCUGCCUCUCCUCCUCAUAGUCAUCGACCUCUCUGACUCUGCUGGGAUUGGCUUUCGCCACCUGCCCCACUGGAACACCCGCUGUCCUCUGGCCUCCCACACAGAUGACAGUUUCACUGGAAGUUCUGCCCAUAUCCCUUGCCGCACCUCGUGGGCCCUCUUCUCCACAAAGCCUUGGUGUGUGCGAGUCUGGCACUGUUCCCGCUGUUUGUGCCAGCAUCUGCUGUCAGGUCGCUCAGGUCUUCAACGGGGCCUCUUCCACCUCCUGGUGCAGAAAUCCAAAAAGUCUUCCACAUUCAAGUUCUAUAGGAGACACAAGAUGCCAGCACCUGCUCAGAGGAAGCUGCUGCCUCGUCGUCACCUGUCUGAGAAGAGCCAUCACAUUUCCAUCCCCUCCCCAGACAUCUCCCACAAGGGACUUCGCUCUAAAAGGACCCAACCUUCGGAUCCAGAGACAUGGGAAAGUCUUCCCAGAUUGGACUCACAAAGGCAUGGAGGACCCGAGUUCUCCUUUGAUUUGCUGCCUGAGGCCCGGGCUAUUCGGGUGACCAUAUCUUCAGGCCCUGAGGUCAGCGUGCGUCUUUGUCACCAGUGGGCACUGGAGUGUGAAGAGCUGAGCAGUCCCUAUGAUGUCCAGAAAAUUGUGUCUGGGGGCCACACUGUAGAGCUGCCUUAUGAAUUCCUUCUGCCCUGUCUGUGCAUAGAGGCAUCCUACCUGCAAGAGGACACUGUGAGGCGCAAAAAAUGUCCCUUCCAGAGCUGGCCAGAAGCCUGUGAGUGCUGUUAACAUGCACCCUUGUGCACACACAUCCCCUUUCUCUUUCUGUCUCCUACACACACAUGUACACACACAUACACACACCCCGCACUUCACACAUGUGCUAGGGGAAGUCCCCAGAAGGCAUGCAGGUACUUUCCCUGGAGUCAGUGGGGGGAAAAGGGCUGCCAAGUCUACCAGUCUGCUUGCCAAUAGAUCAGAGAGCGCUGAGCACCGCAGCACUGUGAGAAGUUUAGAAAUAUGAGGCCUAGGAGAUGGUGUCCUAAGAGGAUGGGCCAGAAGACCCAGUUCCCAUCCCAGCUCUGUCAAUUGUUCUUCUCUGAGCCUCACUUUCCUCAUCUGUAAAAUCUCAAUACCUGCUCUGCCUUCAAAGUGUUUGUGGAGCCUGAGUUAAAUAUUACAUAUGAAAGUGGCUGGUGAUGUCUGAAGUGCUGUAUGCAUGUUGUUGUUCUCAAGGAGAGGCAGGACACUCAGACAAAAGUGACUCACAUAAAGCAGCCUACAGAACUUACAGGGCAGGGUUAUGGUUAAGGACUAGGCUGUAGGGCAAGAAAUUGGGAAAGGGAGAAGCUCAAGAAGGGCCAUUAUAAGCAGAGAAGGCCUCUUAGAGGAAGUGGCACCUGAGCUGGGGUCAGAAAAAGGGCAGGACUUAGAAAGGAGAGAUAGGAGGGAAAGACAUUCCUGGUUCUGAGAGGACCCUAAGCAGAUUUCGAUUUUGGGGAGAAGCAAGGACCUGGCCAGAAUGGAGGCCUGGGAAGGAGAGGAGAGAGACCCCUGGAUAGAAAGAUAAUGAGGUUUGGCGCAAUGGCUCACGCCUGUAAUUCCAGCACUUUGGGAGGCUGAAGUAGGCAGAUCACCUGAGGUCAGGAGUUUGAGACCAGCCUGGCCAACAUGGUGAAACCCUGUCUGUACUAAAAAUACAAAAAGUUAGCCAGGCAUGGUGGUGCGCGCCUGUAGUCCCAGCUACUCAGGGGAUCAAGACAGGAGAAUCACUUGAGCUCGGGAUGCAGAGGUUGCAGUGAGCCGAAAUCACACCACUGCACUCCAGCCUGGGUGACGGAGUGCAACUCCGUCUCAAAAAAAAAACAAAAAACAGAAA
rnacentral:sRNA from 1 species